rnacentral:rRNA from 1 species
UACAGAGGGUGCAAGCGUUGUUCGGAAUUAUUGGGCGUAAAGGGCGCGUAGGCGGCCAUGCGUGUCUUCCGUGAAAUCCCUCGGCUUAACUGAGGACGUGCGGAAGAAACUGCAAGGCUCGAGUCCGGGAGAGGAGGGUGGAAUUCCCAGUGUAGCGGUGAAAUGCGUAGAUAUUGGGAGGAACACCGGUGGCGAAGGCGGCCCUCUGGACCGGUACUGACGCUGAUGCGCGAAAGCGUGGGUAGCAAACGGG